GACGAACGCUGGCGGCGUGCCUAAUACAUGCAAGUUGAGCGCUGAAGGUUGGUACUUGUACCAACUGGAUGAGCAGCAAACGGGUGAGUAACGCGUGGGGAAUCUGCCUUUGAGCGGGGGACAACAUUUGGAAACGAAUGCUAAUACCGCAUAAAAACUUUAAACACAAGUUUUAAGUUUGAAAGAUGCAAUUGCAUCACUCAAAGAUGAUCCCGCGUUGUAUUAGCUAGUUGGUGAGGUAAAGGCUCACCAAGGCGAUGAUACAUAGCCGACCUGAGAGGGUGAUCGGCCACAUUGGGACUGAGACACGGCCCAAACUCCUACGGGAGGCAGCAGUAGGGAAUCUUCGGAAUGGACGAAAGUCUGACCGAGCAACGCCGCGUGAGUGAAGAAGGUUUUCGGAUCGUAAAACUCUGUUGGUAGAGAAGAACGUUGGUGAGAGUGGAAAGCUCAUCAAGUGACGGUAACUACCCAGAAAGGGACGGCUAACUACGUG
rnacentral:rRNA from 1 species